rnacentral:rRNA from 1 species
AUUGAGCGCUGGCGGCAUGCUUUACACAUGCAAGUCGAACGGUAACAGGCCUUCGGGUGCUGACGAGUGGCGAACGGGUGAGUAAUGCAUCGGAACGUGCCCAAUCGUGGGGGAUAACGUAGCGAAAGUUACGCUAAUACCGCAUAAGCCCUGAGGGGGAAAGUGGGGACCGCAAGGCCUCACGCGAAUGGAGCGGCCGAUGUCAGAUUAGCUAGUUGGUGGGGUAAAGGCCCGACCAAGGCGACGAUCUGUAGCGGGUCUGAGAGGAUGAUCCGCCACACUGGGACUGAGACACGGCCCAGACUCCUACGGGAGGCAGCAGUGGGGAAUUUUGGACAAUGGGCGCAAGCCUGAUCCAGCCAUGCCGCGUGCGGGACGAAGGCCUUCGGGUUGUAAACC